CACUUGGGCUUACUGAACCGAAUAACUAAACAAAACGGGCCCAUAAAUUUUGUGUAAACCGGUCCGGUCCACAACGGGAGAGACACGUGUCAGUCGAAGAAACUGAUUCAAAAUCGUUUUCCUUAUAGUUCCUCGGAUCGAAGCGAAGCAUAACGGAGAGAUCUCUCUUGCCCUCAAAAAUGGCGGCGAAAGCGAUUGCGAGUAUAUCUCCAAAGGCAGGCUUAUUACUACUACCAUUUACAUCUCCAGCUUCUUCUUCUUGGUCGUUUUUUAGUAUUGUCGUUACCAAAACCUUCGAACCCGAAGUCAGAAGGAGGAGAGUCCAUGUCCUGAAAGUAGAUAUUUCCAUUAAAGGGGAUCCAGAUUUGACGGAUGUUUUUUUUGGUUUGAAAAGUGUUUGACUUUAUGUUUAGAUGUGAAAUCAAACUUGAAAGCUCCCAAGUGUUUGAAUUUCGAUGGUUCUGGUUUCAGACGUUUAUAUAAAAAAGGUUUAUUUGUCUGCCGAAAGAGAAGAUUGCAGAGACGAAGGAAGCGUGUGAACGCGGUGAGGGGAUGGGUUUGACGGUGACUUGACUUUUUUUUUUUUUUUUUUUAGUUUUUCAAAAAAUAAACUCAUGUAAAGACAAAAAGAAAAACAUGUUUGAUUUAGGCGUUAUAACUAUAUCAGACGAUCAUUAGAGCAUGUUUAUUGCAGGUCUCUUAGGUCGGAUCUCUUAUCGUAAUAUAAGAUACGAUCUCUUAACUUUUAACUAAAAAAAGCUAAGAGACGUCUCUUAUAUCUCUUAUUAAGAGACGUUUCUUAUAUCUCUUAUUAAGAGACGUCUCUUAGAGACCGUAUCUUAUAUUACGCUAAGAGAUCCAAUUUAAGAGAUCUACAAUAAACAUGCUCUUAACCCUAUAACCUCAUUUUGGUUUCUUAAUAACUUGUUUAAUAAUAAAAAUUAGUUAAAAACUUUAGUUAAGAAACACUUAGUUUUUAUGCU